rnacentral:tRNA from 1 species
GCCAGCUUAGCUCAGCAGGUAGAGCAUCCGCCUUGUAAGCGGCAGGUCGUCGGUUCAAUUCCGUCAGCUGGCUCCA